rnacentral:rRNA from 1 species
UUUAAGUUGUAACCAAGGCCACCUUUUGGUUUUUGGAUUCUGCUCAGGACGAACGCUGGCGGCGUGCCUAAUACAUGCAAGUCGAGCGGACAGAUGGGAGCUUGCUCCCUGAUGUUAGCGGCGGACGGGUGAGUAACACGUGGGUAACCUGCCUGUAAGACUGGGAUAACUCCGGGAAACCGGGGCUAAUACCGGAUGGUUGUUUGAACCGCAUGGUUCAAACAUAAAAGGUGGCUUCGGCUACCACUUACAGAUGGACCCGCGGCGCAUUAGCUAGUUGGUGAGGUAACGGCUCACCAAGGCAACGAUGCGUAGCCGACCUGAGAGGGUGAUCGGCCACACUGGGACUGAGACACGGCCCAGACUCCUACGGGAGGCAGCAGUAGGGAAUCUUCCGCAAUGGACGAAAGUCUGACGGAGCAACGCCGCGUGAGUGAUGAAGGUUUUCGGAUCGUAAAGCUCUGUUGUUAGGGAAGAACAAGUACCGUUCGAAUAGGGCGGUACCUUGACGGUACCUAACCAGAAAGCCACGGCUAACUACGUGCCAGCAGCCGCGGUAAUACGUAGGUGGCAAGCGUUGUCCGGAAUUAUUGGGCGUAAAGGGCUCGCAGGCGGUUUCUUAAGUCUGAUGUGAAAGCCCCCGGCUCAACCGGGGAGGGUCAUUGGAAACUGGGGAACUUGAGUGCAGAAGAGGAGAGUGGAAUUCCACGUGUAGCGGUGAAAUGCGUAGAGAUGUGGAGGAACACCAGUGGCGAAGGCGACUCUCUGGUCUGUAACUGACGCUGAGGAGCGAAAGCGUGGGGAGCGAACAGGAUUAGAUACCCUGGUAGUCCACGCCGUAAACGAUGAGUGCUAAGUGUUAGGGGGUUUCCGCCCCUUAGUGCUGCAGCUAACGCAUAAGCACUCCGCCUGGGAGAUUUUGGAGGG